rnacentral:rRNA from 1 species
AGAGUUUGAUCAUGGCUCAGACGAACGCUAGCGCGUGCCUAAUGUAUGCAAGUCGAGCGGGGAAAGGAGACUUCGGUCUCCUCUCCUAGCGGCAAACGGUUGAGUAACACGUAGGCAACCUGCCCCAGAGACGGGGAUAGCCCACCGAAAGGUGGCGUAAUACCGGAUGUGGCGCGAGGGGACCUCCCCUUGUUGCUAAAGGGAGCAAUCCGCUCUGGGAUGGGCCUGCGGCCUAUCAGCUAGUUGGUGGGGUAACGGCCUACCAAGGCGACGACGGGUAGCUGGUCUGAGAGGAUGGUCAGCCAGACAGGGACUGAGACACGGCCCUGACUCCUUUGGGGGGCAGCAAUGAGGGAUAUUGCACAAUGGGGGAAACCCUGAUGCAGCGACGCCGCGUGGGUGACGAAGUCCUUCGGGAUGUAAAGCCCUUUUCUCGGGGAAGAGAACGGACGGUACCCGAGGAAUAAGCCCCGGCUAACUACGUGCCAGCAGCCGCGGUAAUACGUAGGGGGCGAGCGUUGUCCGGAUUUACUGGGCGUAAAGCGCGUGUAGGCGGAGGGGUGUGUCGGACGUGAAAGGCUUCGGCUCAACCGGAGACGGCCGUUCGAUACUGCCCUUCUUGAGGGUCGAAGAGGAGAGUGGAAUUCCCGGUGUAGCGGUGAAAUGCGUAGAGAUCGGGAGGAACACCCAUGGCGAAGGCAGCUCUCUGGUCGGCACCUGACGCUGAGACGCGAAAGCGUGGGGAGCGAACGGGAUUAGAUACCCCGGUAGUCCACGCCGUAAACGAUGGUCACUAGGUGUAGGCGGUAUCGACCCCGCCUGUGCCGCAGCUAACGCAAUAAGUGACCCGCCUGGGGAGUACGGCCGCAAGGUUGAAACUCAAAGGAAUUGACGG